GACAUAGGUGGCAAACGUUAUCCGGAAUUAUUGGGCGUAAAGUGUGCGUAGGUGGUUUAAUAAGUUACUGGUGGGAAAUCGGGGCCCAACCCCGUGGAAGUCGGUAAUACUAUUAAACUAGAGGAUCGGAGGGGUUAACGGAAUUCUAUGUGUAGCGGUAAAAUGCAUAGAUACAAUCAAGAACUCCGAUUGCGUAGGCAGCUAACUAGGCUGUAACUGACGCUGAGGCACGAAAGCGUGGGGAGCGAACAGG
rnacentral:rRNA from 1 species